rnacentral:rRNA from 1 species
UACAGAGGUCUCAAGCGUUGUACGGAUUCAUUGGGCGUAAAGGGUGCGUAGGCGGCGCGGUAAGUCGGGUGUGAAAUUUCGAGGCUUAACUUCGAAACUGCAUUCGAUACUGCGGUGCUUGAGGACUGGAGAGGAGACUGGAAUUCAUGGUGUAGCAGUGAAAUGCGUAGAGAUCAUGAGGAAGACCAGUGGCGAAGGCGGGUCUCUGGCUCGCAACUGACGCUCAGGCACGAAGGCCAGGGGAGCAAACGGG